GACGUAGGGUGCAAGCGUUGUCCGGAUUUACUGGGCGUAAAGCGCACGUAGGCGGCUUCUUAAGUCAGGGGUGAAAUCCUGGAGCUCAACUCCAGAACUGCCUUUGAUACUGAGGAGCUUGAGUCCGGGAGAGGUGAGUGGAACUGCGAGUGUAGAGGUGAAAUUCGUAGAUAUUCGCAAGAACACCAGUGGCGAAGGCGGCUCACUGGCCCGGUACUGACGCUGAGGUGCGAAAGCGUGGGGAGCAAACAGG
rnacentral:rRNA from 1 species